AAGUCGUAACAAGGUUUCCGUAGGUGAACCUGCGGAAGGAUCAUUUCCGAACAAAACAUCAUAUCAACCAACCAUGUGAAAUGUUUUGGGUGACCUUUACUGGAGGGAUAGCUGGAGUUGUUAUGCGCAUUCGUGUGUAUAGCUCAUCUCCAAAUUUUUUAUCCCUCCAGGCCAUGAUGAACUACCUUGUAACAAAGGUUGAUUUUAUAUCGUCUUUUCAACUUUAGAAAAGUAAAUGAUAUGACAACUUUUAACGGUGGAUCUCUUGGCUCGU
rnacentral:misc_RNA from 1 species